rnacentral:rRNA from 1 species
UAGGGAAUAUUGGUAAUGUGCGAAAGCGCGAACCAGCAACGCCGCGUGCACGAUGAAGGCCUUCGGGUUGUAAAGUGCUUUUAGGGAGGAUGAGGAAGGACAGUACUUUCUGAAUAAGCCUCGGCUAACUACGUGCCAGCAGCCGCGGUAAAACGUAGGAGGCUAGCGUUAUCCGGAUUUACUGGGUGUAAAGGGUGCUCAGGCGGAUUUGUAAGUCAGAGGUGAAAUCUUACAGCUUAACUGUGAAACUGCCUUUGAUACUGCAAGCGUAGAGUAGGGAAGAGAGUGAUGGAAUAUCUGGAGGAGCAGUGAAAUGCGUAGAUAUAAGAUAGAACACCAAUGGCGAAGGAGGUCACUUGGUCGAUUACUGACGCUAAAGCACGAAAGCGUGGGUAGCAAACA